rnacentral:rRNA from 1 species
AUGGGGAGUACGGUCGCAAGACUGACACUCAAAGGAAUUGACGGGGGCCCGCACAAGCGGUGGAGCAUGUGGUUAAUUUGAAGCAACGAGAAGAACCUCACCAGGUCUUGACAUCCUGUGUCAAUCCUAGAGAUAGGACGUCCCCUUAGGGGGCAGAGUGACAGGUGGUGCAUGGUUGUCGUCAGCUCGUGUCGUGAGAUGUUGGGUUAAGUCCCGGAACGAGCGCAACCCUUGAUCUUAGUUGGCAGCAUUUAGUUGGGCACUCUAAGGUGACUGCCGGUGACAAACCGGAGGAAGGUGGGGAUGACGUCAAGUCAUCAUGGCCCUUAUGGCUUGGGCUACACACGUGAUACAAUGGUCGGGACAGAGGGUAGCGAAACCGCGAGGUGGAGCUAAUCUCAUAAAUCUGAUCUUAGUUCGGAUUGCAGUCUGCAACUCGCCUGCAUGAAGUGGGAAUCGCUAGUAAUCGCGGAUCAGCAUGUCGCGGUGAAUACGUUCCCGGGUCUUGUACACACCGCCCGUCACCACCCAUGGGAGUGGGUUUUACCAGAAGUAGUUAGCGUAACCGCAAGGGGGGCGAUUACCACUGGUAGGGAUUACGAGACUGGGUGAA